rnacentral:rRNA from 1 species
AUUGAACGCUGGCGGCAUGCCUUACACAUGCAAGUCGAACGGCAGCACGGGAGCAAUCCUGGUGGCGAGUGGCGAACGGGUGAGUAAUAUAUCGGAACGUGCCCAGUAGUGGGGGAUAGCCCGGCGAAAGCCGGAUUAAUACCGCAUACGACCUGUGGGUGAAAGCGGGGGAUCGCAAGACCUCGCGCUAUUGGAGCGGCCGAUAUCAGAUUAGCUAGUUGGUGAGGUAAUGGCUCACCAAGGCGACGAUCCGUAGCUGGUCUGAGAGGACGAUCAGCCACACUGGGACUGAGACACGGCCCAGACUCCUACGGGAGGCAGCAGUGGGGAAUAUUGCACAAUGGGCGAAAGCCUGAUGCAGCAAUGCCGCGUGUGUGAAGAAGGCCUGCGGGUUGUAAAGCACUUUCGGUAGGGAAGAGUAAUGACGGUACCUACAGAAGAAGCACCGGCUAACUCCGUGCCAGCAGCCGCGGUAA